AUUGAACGCUGGCGGCAUGCUUUACACAUGCAAGUCGAACGGUAACAGGGUGCUUGCACCGCUGACGAGUGGCGAACGGGUGAGUAAUGCGUCGGAACGUGCCGAGUAGUGGGGGAUAACGCAGCGAAAGUUGUGCUAAUACCGCAUACGUACUGAGGUAGAAAGUGGGGGACCUUCGGGCCUCACGCUAUUCGAGCGGCCGACGUCGGGUUAGCUAGUAGGGGAGGUAAAGGCUCACCUAGGCGACGAUCAGUAGCGGGUCUGAGAGGAUGCUCCGCCACACUGGGACUGAGACACGGCCCAGACUCCUACGGGAGGCAGAAGUGGGGAAUUUUGGACAAUGGGCGAAAGCCUGAUCCAGCCAUGCCGCGUGUCUGAAGAAGGCCUUCGGGUUGUAAAGGACUUUUGUCAGGGAGGAAAUCCCUAGUGCUAAUAACACUGGGGGAUGACAGUACCUGAAGAAUAAGCACCGGCUAACUACGUGCCAGCCGCCGCCGUAA
rnacentral:rRNA from 1 species